rnacentral:tRNA from 1 species
GGAGACGUGCCCGAGAACUAGGGACUAUUUUGAUAAAAUAGACACAGAGAUCAACCCCCCUCUCGCCUCCC